rnacentral:rRNA from 1 species
GACGAACGCUGGCGGCGUGCUUAACACAUGCAAGUCGAACGGUAAGGCCCUUCGGGGUACGACGAGUGGCGAACGGGUGAGUAACACGUGGGUGAUCUGCCCUGCACUUCGGGAUAAGCCUGGGAAACUGGGUCUAAUACCGGAUAGGACCAUGGACUUCACGGUUUGUGGUGGAAAGCUUUUGCGGUGUGGGAUGGGCCCGCGGCCUAUCAGCUUGUUGGUGGGGUAAUGGCCUACCAAGGCGACGACGGGUAGCCGGCCUGAGAGGGUGUCCGGCCACACUGGGACUGAGAUACGGCCCAGACUCCUACGGGAGGCAGCAGUGGGGAAUAUUGCACAAUGGGCGCAAGCCUGAUGCAGCGACGCCGCGUGA